rnacentral:rRNA from 1 species
CCUACGGGAGACAGCAGUAGGGAAUCUUCGGCAAUGGGCGAAAGCCUGACCGAGCAACGCCGCGUGAAUGAAGAAGGCCUUCGGGUUGUAAAAUUCUGUUAUAAGGGAAGAAAGGUGAUAGGAGGAAAUGACUAUCAAUUGACGGUACCUUAUGAGAAAGCCACGGCUAACUACGUGCCAGCAGCCGCGGUAAUACGGAGGGUGCGAGCGUUAAUCGGAAUUACUGGGCGUAAAGCGCUCGUAGGCGGUAUGUCAAGUCAAGGGUGAAAUCCCCGCGCUCAACGUGGGAACUGCCUUUGAAACUGGCAAACUGGAGUGUGUGAGAGGAUAGUGGAAUUCCAGGUGUAGGAGUGAAAUCCGUAGAUAUCUGGAGGAACAUCAGUGGCGAAGGCGACUAUCUGGCACAUAACUGACGCUGAGGAGCGAAAGCGUGGGUAGCAAACAGGAUUAGAUACCCUGGUAGUC